GUUGCUUCACACCUGGAAGGAUGGCCUGUUGAUAUCAGUCUGGUCAUCCCGUAGAGGGAAGCAUAGACGGACGGAAACACCGGCCAGCAUUAAACAGCACGACGCAAAAUCAAACUGUGUCGUGUUACCUGUCUUCUGGUACAUCU
rfam:Triticum urartu cultivar G1812 contig354096, whole genome shotgun sequence.